rnacentral:rRNA from 1 species
AUUGAACGCUGGCGGCAUGCCUUACACAUGCAAGUCGAACGGCAGCACGGGAGCAAUCCUGGUGGCGAGUGGCGAACGGGUGAGUAAUAUAUCGGAACGUGCCCAGUCGUGGGGGAUAACGCAGCGAAAGCUGUGCUAAUACCGCAUACGAUCUAUGGAUGAAAGCGGGGGAUCGCAAGACCUCGCGCGAUUGGAGCGGCCGAUAUCAGAUUAGCUUGUUGGUGGGGUAAAAGCCUACCAAGGCGACGAUCUGUAGCUGGUCUGAGAGGACGACCAGCCACACUGGGACUGAGACACGGCCCAGACUCCUACGGGUGGCUG